rnacentral:rRNA from 1 species
GACAGAGGUGCCGAGCGUUAGGCGGAAUCACUGGGCUUAAAGCGUGUGUAGGCGGGCCCGUAAGUGUCUUGUGAAAUCCCACGGCUCAACCGUGGAACUGCUGGGCAUACUGCGGGUCUUGAGCGGCCUAGGGGCAGACGGAACAAGUGGUGGAGCGGUGAAAUGCGUAGAUAUCAGGAAGAACACCCGUGGCGAAAGCGGCUCUCUGGAACGGUACUGACGCUGAGACGCGAAAGCGUGGGGAGCGAACAGG